GAUGAACGCUGGCGGCGUGCCUAACACAUGCAAGUCGAGCGAGAUGUAUAUGGACGAAACUUCGGUCUAGGAAAUAUAUUGACAGCGGCGGACGGGUGAGUAACGCGUAGGCAACCUGCCCUUAACACAGGGAUAGCCUCGGGAAACCGGGAUUAAAACCUGAUAAUGCCAAAUAGUCACAUGGCUGUUUGGCCAAAGAUUUAUCGGUUAAGGAUGGGCCUGCGUCUGAUUAGUUUGUUGGUGGGGUAACGGCCUACCAAGACUACGAUCAGUAGCCGACCUGAGAGGGUGAUCGGCCACAUUGGAACUGAGACACGGUCCAAACUCCUACGGGAGGCAGCAGUGGGGAAUAUUGCACAAUGGGCGAAAGCCUGAUGCAGCAACGCCGCGUGAGCGAUGAAGGCCUUUGGGUCGUAAAGCUCUGUCCUUGGGGAAGAAAAAAUGACGGCACCCAAGGAGGAAGCCCCGGCUAACUACGUGCCAGCAGCCGCGGUAAAGUAUCG
rnacentral:rRNA from 1 species